rnacentral:rRNA from 1 species
GACGAACGCUGGCGGCGUGCCUAAUACAUGCAAGUCGAGCGCACGAAGUUGAAGAGCUUGCUCUUUAACCAAGUGAGUGGCGGACGGGUGAGUAACACGUGGGUAACCUGCCCAUUAGAGGGGGAUAACAUUCGGAAACGGAUGCUAAUACCGCAUAGUUUCAGGAAUCGCAUGAUUCUUGAAGGAAAGGUGGCUUCGGCUACCACUAAUGGAUGGACCCGCGGCGUAUUAGCUAGUUGGUGAGGUAAUGGCUCACCAAGGCAAUGAUACGUAGCCGACCUGAGAGGGUGAUCGGCCACACUGGGACUGAGACACGGCCCAGACUCCUACGGGAGGCAGCAGUAGGGAAUCUUCCGCAAUGGACGAAAGUCUGGCGGAGCAACGCCGCGUGAGUGAAGAAGGUUUUCGGAUCGUAAAACUCUGUUGUUAAAGAAGAACAAGGAUGAGAGUAACUGCUCAUCCCCUGACGGUAUUUAACCAGAAAGCCACGGCUAACUACGUGCCAGCAGCCGCGGUAAUACGUAGGUGGCAAGCGUUGUCCGGAUUUAUUGGGCGUAAAGCGAGCGCAGGCGGUUCUUUAAGUCUGAUGUGAAAGCCCCCGGCUCAACCGGGGAGGGUCAUUGGAAACUGGAGAACUUGAGUGCAGAAGAGGAGAGUGGAAUUCCACGUGUAGCGGUGAAAUGCGUAGAUAUGUGGAGGAACACCAGUGGCGAAGGCGACUCUCUGGUCUGUAACUGACGCUGAGGCUCGAAAGCGUGGGGAGCAAACAGG